AGAACGAACGCUGGCGGCGUGGAUAAGACAUGCAAGUCGAACGGGAUUACUUUUGUAGCAAUACAGAAGUAAUUCAGUGGCGAACGGGUGCGUAACACGUGGGCAAUCUGCCGAAAAGUGGGGGAUAGCGUCGCCGAAAGGCGAAUUAAUACCGCAUGUGGUGAGGGACGACAUCUUCCCGAAGUCCAAAGCCCGGGGCAACCUGGCGCUUUUUGAGGGACGCCCGCGGCCUAUCAGUCUAGUUGGUGAGGUACGGACUCACGACGUCUUCGGACGGUAGCCUGGUCGUAGAGUACGGACGACC
rnacentral:rRNA from 1 species